rnacentral:rRNA from 1 species
UAAGGAAUAUUGCGCAAUGGGCGAAAACCUGACGCCAGCGACCCCGCGUGGGGGAUGAAAGGUCUUCGGAUUGUAAACCCCGCUCGGGAGGGAAGAUGGAGCGACCAAUCGUUCCGGACGGUACCUCCAGAAGCAGCCACGGCCAACUUCGUGCCAGCAGCCGCGGCGGCGCGGAGGUGGCUUGCGUUGUUCGGAUUCACUAUGCGUACAGGGUGUGUAGGCGGUUUGGUAAGCCUUCUGUUAAAGCUUCGGGCCCAACCCGGAAAGCGCAGAGGGUACUGCCAGGCUAGAGGGUGGGAGAGGAGCGCGGAAUUCCCGAUGUAGCGGUGACGCGCGUAGAGAUCGGGAGGAAGGCCGGUGGCGAAGGCGGCGCUCUGGAACAUACCUGACGCUGAGACACGGGCGCGUGGGGAGCAAACAGGACCGGAUACCCUGGUAGUCCACGCCCUAAACUAUGGAUACUAAGUGUCGGCGGGCGCCCGCCGGUGCCGCAGCGCACGCAUUAAGUAUCCCGCCUGGGAGGUACGGCCGCAAGGUUG